ACUGCCAGACAGGGCCUUCCCUGGAUUUUGGGGGUCCCAGGUACUCACCCACUGCUCGUUCUGGGGUGAGGGACCCUCCUGGCUGCACUCGGGGCUGGAUGUGGGUCCUGCCCCCCCAGAUGGACUGGGGGGUCCCGGGGUUGUGGGAUCUCUCCGGGUUUUGGGGUUCCGGGUCUGCUGUCCUGGCUGCGGCUCUCAGGAAUUCUGGGCUCUGGUUCUCCGGGUUUUAGGGUCCCUGGGCUCUGGUUCUCUGGGUUUUGGUGUCUCUGGGUUAUAGCUCUGCAGGUUUUGGGGUGUCUGGGCUCUGGCUCCGCAGGUUUUGGGGUGUCUGGACUCCGGUUCUCUGGGUUUUGGGGUCUCUGUGCUCCAGCUCUCCGGAGUUCUGUCGCUCCUGGUUUUGGGGCUCCUCCAAGUUUUGGGGUGCCUGGAUUUGGCCUGGAGGGACACAAAACAUUGGAGCUGCUCCCACGCUCCCCAAAAACCU
rnacentral:lncRNA from 1 species